CCUACGGGAGACAGCAGUGGGGAAUAUUGGGCAAUGGGCGCAAGCCUGACCCAGCAACGCCGCGUGAAGGAAGAAGGCUUUCGGGUUGUAAACUUCUUUUCUCAGGGACGAAGCAAGUGACGGUACCUGAUGAAUAAGCCACGGCUAACUACGUGCCAGCAGCCGCGGUAAUACGUAGGUGGCAAGCGUUAUCCGGAUUUACUGGGUGUAAAGGGCGUGUAGGCGGGAAAGCAAGUCAGAUGUGAAAACCACGGGCUCAACAUGUGGUCUGCAUUUGAAACUGUUUUUCUUGAGUACUGGAGAGGCAGACGGAAUUCCUAGUGGAGCGGUGAAAUGCGUAGAUAUUAGGAGGAACACCAGUGGCGAAGGCGGUCUGCUGGACAGCAACUGACGCUGAGGCGCGAAAGCGUGGGGAGCAAACAGGAUUAGAUACCCCAGUAGUC
rnacentral:rRNA from 1 species